rnacentral:rRNA from 1 species
GGCCCAGAUCGUUUACCGUGAAAAAAUUAGAGUGUUCAAAGCAGGCAGAUCCAAUUUUCUGCCACCGAAUACAUUAGCAUGGGAUAAUGGAAUAGGACCCUGUCCUCCUAUUUUCAGUUGGUUUGCCGCGAGGACCAGGGUAAUGAUUAAUAGGGAUAGUUGGGGGCAUUAAUAUUUAAUUGUCAGAGGUGAAAUUCUUGGAUUUAUGAAAGAUUAACUUCUGCGAAAGCAUCUGCCAAGGAUGUUUUCAUUAAUCAAGAACGAAAGUUAGGGGAUCGAAGACGAUCAGAUACCGUCGUAGUCUUAACCAUAAACGAUGCCGACCAGCGAUUAGGAGACGUUGAAUACAAAACACCACCAUGCGAUUGCGGUCGUCUUUGGUGUCGCUCACAAGGCGGCACCGGGGCGGCUUAGCUCGCAUGGCACCGGUGAAUGACUCCCCUAGCAGCUUGUGAGA